rnacentral:rRNA from 1 species
AACGUAGGAUGCAAGCGUUAUCCGGAAUUAUUGGGCGUAAAGCGUCCGCAGGCUGCUCUGUAAGUCUGCUGUUAAAGACCGCAGCUCAACUGCGGAGAGGCAGUGGAAACUGGAGAGCUAGAGUAUGGUAGGGGUAGAGGGAAGUCCCAGUGUAGCGGUGAAAUGCGUAGAGAUUGGGAAGAACACAAGUGGCGAAAGCGCUCUACUGGGCCAUAACUGACGCUCAGGGACGAAAGCUAGGGGAGCGAAAGGG